UUUAAUUCUUAUUUAUUAUGACCGCCACCAAACUCAGAACGUUUGUCUCUAUUUUAUAGAUUAAAAAAAGAAAAGCUGGAGCUUAAAGGAGCUAAACACCCUGCCAAGUUGGCACACCCUAACUACCAACUGUCAGAGUUUGGGUGUGAGCCCACAUACGCCUGAAUCCAAGUCUUAACCACUCUACCCUCCAACCUCCCAUUGCAUACCUUUCUCCCAACUCUCCAGGUCCCACACCUAACUUUGGUCAACAUUUACCAGUUAACCGUUCUGAAACAUUUGACAUCGUCACCAAGAACCCAAAGCCAGUGACUCUCUCCAGCCUUGGUUGGACCAUAGCCCAUACCUACUCUUCUUUCUUGGUUCCACUAGAGUUCCAGUUUUGGUUUUGAAGGCCAUGGCUUCAAAUGUAGACCUGAAGGCAGCUAUGAGGUCACUUCCGUUUUCCUACUUGAUUUCCAAUAUGCUGCAAGAGUGAUUUGGUACUACUAAGUUUUUUGCCUGAGGUUGUACCAAUGAUAGCUUCCUUCCCCCAUCAUAAUUUAACCCAUUUGUAUUCACUUCAUGCUUCUCCUUCACUUGAAACUAUUCCCAACCUCUGUUUCUGGGCACUUCUAGCCUCUCUGUAGUUUGUCACUGAUGCCUUAAGGAAUCUUUAGGGAUCAUUCAUUUGUUCAGUUGUUUAAUGAGAACCUACUAUGUGUAAGCCCCUGAGCUAUGAAAAUAAAAAUGAUUAAGACA